rnacentral:rRNA from 1 species
UACGAAGGGGGCUAGCGUUGUUCGGAAUUACUGGGCGUAAAGCGCACGUAGGCGGUCUACUAAGUCAGGGGUGAAAUCCCGGGGCUCAACCCCGGAACUGCCUUUGAUACUGGUAGUCUCGAGUCCGGAAGAGGUGAGUGGAAUUCCGAGUGUAGAGGUGAAAUUCGUAGAUAUUCGGAGGAACACCAGUGGCGAAGGCGGCUCGCUGGUCCGGUACUGACGCUGAGGUGCGAAAGCGUGGGGAGCAAACAGG